AUUUAAUAAAUUACUUUUAUUUGAUGUAUGUUUGGUUGCCUAAACAUCUAGAAAGUUACCUAGCAUAAAAUUCACCAAAAAAUUAACUGUCGACAUUGUGGUUUCAGUGGUUAUGUUAACCUAACCUAAAAAAUGUAUCUGUGCCGUUACAAUAGUGCCACACUUUACUAUAAUUUAAGCAUGUAAGCUUUUUUCAAGUUUACUCAAUAUCUAUCUAAGCGAGACAAUAAUUGAAAUUUCAUGACUUUGAUUAUUAUUAUGCUACAUCCACUAACCGAGUAGUGUUUUGUUUACAACUUGUGGUUAAAUUUUAAAACUAGUUCACAACCGGAUUUUCGGACGCAGUACAAAAUAUAAUAACCUCAAAGACUACAUAAAGAUGUUCAUUUCUUUAAAUGUAAUUAUUGCACAUGUAAUUUUAAAUGCUUAUUAAACAAAAUGAAAGUGAAACAAAACGUGGAAACGUGCAAGUUUAAUUUUAUAUGGUUCAACUCUUUUCGUGAUUACGUACGAUUAUAAUUUUCUUCUACGUUACAUAACACGGUAAAAACAAAACAAUUGCUAUACAACAAAAGAAAAUCGGUUUAAAGCAUUAAUAAAACGAGUUAAAAUUACAUGAUUACUCAUCAUAACCUAACAUUUCUACAAAAUGAAGAACACCCACGUUGAAGCAGAGACAGCGAAACAAACAAAAGUUGUUUACUUUUCUAACCAACAUGCACUUGUAAUUCAACCGAAUUCAAAUUCAAAUUCGGUCUGGUUACUACAAUAAUGCGUGAAAUGAUCAAGAUGGAGAUCGAUAACGGUGAUAACAUUGGCAUCGGCGCUUUGAAGAGUUUUUCGAGACGUUAGACGAACCGUGGAAUAUUUCAAUCGGUCAGCGUGCUAGCAGGUCAGCGGACGAGAUAAAAUGCAAGUGCCUUGCAAUCCGAUUAGCUUCUACAUUGAGCAAGAGCCCGUGACGGCCAGACGACUAGUCAUUUUAGAAAAGAUGAAAUUUUGCCUAUGUGUGUCUCCAACGCAGGUAAGAACAAUUCCUAAUUAUGAAACCUGGAUCGUGGUUCCUUUGGCAGUUAACAGCCAAUAAAGAUGUAUAAAUGAUGACCUAAGUUUCGUUAUUUUAGCAAACUCCAUUUUUGCAUAUUUUAUUCGUAACAUUAUUAUAACAUGCGCUGCUCAUUGUCAGACACCUGGUAUGGUUCCAACUGGUAUCGUCAUAUUAGGAAAUAUUAUAAUAAUAUAGUAUUUUCUUAGUCGCCAGACAGUUUGGUGGGUUCUAUCAUCCUGCCAGACGCAUUGAAAGUGUAUAAUAGUUUGUUAAAUUUUAAUUUUUAAACAAUUGCCCUUUUCUGUUCGAAGGACUAAUUUUUGAUGGUUUUAAGGAUUUUACACCUGAGUCUGACAUCGUAGAAGGACCAUUCUUACAUGAGUUUGGAUUUUGCACCUGAGUCUGACAUCGCAGAAAGACCAUUCUGGUAUCAGAUUGAUUUUGCACCUGAGUCUGACAUCGCAGAAAGACUAUUCUUGCAUCAAAUUGGAUUUUGCACUUGAGUCUGACUUCGUAGAAGGACCAUUUUUGCAUCAGAUUGGAGUUUGCAUCUGAGUCUGACAUCGUAGAAGGACCAUUUUAGCAUGAGAUUGGAUUUUGCACCUGAGUCUGACAUCGUAGAAGGACCAUUUUUGCAUCAGAUUGGAGUUUGCAUCUGAGUCUGACAUCGUAGAAGGACCAUUUUUGCAUCAGAUUGGAUUUUGCACCUGACUCUAACAUCGUAAAAGGACCAUUCUUGCAUCAGAUUGUUAGUAAUAAAUUUCAUUAUCUUGAAUAAAUGUUGUGAUUAUUACACAAAUUGACUCCCAAAAUGUAUGCCUGUGUGUUUUCUUUAAUAAAGAAUAUUUUAAAGUU